rnacentral:rRNA from 1 species
AGCAGCCGCGGUAAUUCCAGCUCCAAUAGCGUAUAUUAAAGUUGUUGCAGUUAAAAAGCUCGUAGUUGAAUUUCGGGAUCAAUAUGUCGGUCGUGCCUUCGGUACGUACUGGUAUCAUUGGUCUCUCCUUUCUGACGAACCAUGAUGUCAUUAAUUUGGUGUUAUGGGGAGUUAGGACUGUUACUUUGAAAAAUUAGAGUGUUUAAAGCAGGCUCACGCUUGAAUACAUUAGCAUGGAAUAAUGAAAUAGGACGUUUGAUUCUAUUUUGUUGGUUUCUAGGAUCGACGUAAUGAUUAAUAGGGAUAGUUGGGGGCAUUAGUAUUCAAUUGUCAGAGGUGAAAUUCUCGGAUUUAUUGAAGACUAACUACUGCGAAAGCAUUUGCCAAGGAUGUUUUCAUUAAUCAAGAACGAAAGUUAGGGGAUCGAAGACGAUCAGAUACCGUCGUAGUCUUAACCAUAAACUAUGCCGACUAGGGAUCGGAUGAUGUUAAUUUU